GAGCCCGCGCCCGAUUAGCUAGUUGGUGAGGUAACGGCUCACCAAGGCAAUGAUCGGUAGCUGGUCUGAGAGGAUGGCCAGCCACACUGGAACUGAGACACGGUCCAGACUCCUACGGGAGGCAGCAGUGGGGAAUCUUGCGCAAUGGGCGAAAGCCUGACGCAGCGACGCCGCGUGGGGGAUGAAGCUUCUCGGAGUGUAAACCCCUUUCGACCGGGACGAAUGCCCGCAAGGGAGUGACGGUACCGGUAGAAGAAGCCCCGGCUAACUACGUG
rnacentral:rRNA from 1 species